rnacentral:lncRNA from 1 species
AUUGGAACCGGCGGCGGAAGCUCUAUCUUCGGUGGUUUAGGCGGACACGGCUUAUUUGUCGGCGGCUUGUAGAUCGGAACCGGUGGUGGAAGCUCGAUCUUUGGCGGUUUGGGCGGGCACGGCUUCUUUGGCGGCUUGUGGACUGGAACCGGCGGUGGAUGGACUAUCUUCGGCGGUUUGGGCGGAUAAGACUUCUUAGGCGGUGGUUUGUGCACUGGCACCGGCGGUGGAUCAACUUUCUUCGGCGGCUUAGGUGGGCAUGGCUUCUUGGGGAUUGGCGGUGGCUUGUGUACCGGAACCGGGGGUGGGUGCUCUAUCUUUGGUGGCGGCUUGUAAACCGGAACCGGAGGUGGGUGCUCUACCUUUGGCGGCGGCUUGUAAACCGGAACCGGUGGUGGAUGCUCUAUCUUUGGCGGUUUAGGCGGACAAGGCUUCUUAGGAAUCGGCGGUGGGAGCUCCACCUUUGGAGGUGGUUUGUGAACCGGGACAGGAGGGGGAAGCUCUACCUUUGGAGGUGGCUCGUGAACCGGGACAGGUGGGGGAAGCUCUACCUUAGGCGGUGGCUCGUGAACCGGGACAGGUGGCGGAAGAUCAACCUUUGGGGGUGGGUCGUAAACCGGGACCGGAGGUGGGCAAGGUUUCUUGAAUUUGGGGAACGGUGGAAGCACCAAAGGUGGAGGUAAAGGGAAAGGAUGAUCAAAGCCCUUAAAUGGAGGGAGCUUAGGCAUGUGCCAGAAGAAUUUCGAAACGCAGAGUUCCGGUGAAAAUUUUAGGUUUUGUUUGAGACCCA